UCCGGUAUGGUGUAACGGCUAACAUUGCCGCCUUUCAUGGGACUGUGCGCGGCAGCUCGGGGUUCGAUUCCCCGUACCGGAG